rnacentral:lncRNA from 1 species
UUCUCUUUUGUUUUCUUUUUGGUCGAAGACUUCAGCCUACACAUUCUCUGCCCCCUCCACUUCGUGCGCCUCCACCGAAGCUGCCACGUUCGCCCAUUCCCCUGCAGUUUUCUUUCUUUUGUUUUCGGUUCUGUUAGAAAUUCCUACAACGUCAACACCCUCGUCUCCACCGAAGCCGCCACUUGUCCGCAGCUCAGCCUCCUCAGGUCAACCCUAGCAGUUCUUCAACGCAGCAGCUCCCACCGAAGCAGCCGCAUGCCCUCUCCACAUCCACGAGUCCACGAAUAGCUCGCGUCUCUCUGAGCUUCAGCCGCCAGCAGCCCGCGAAUCAGUCCAGCCAGCCUCGCCAUUCAGCCACGUGUUUAGCCACGUUCAAUCCAGAACGAGAAGCCCAACCGAGGGCUUUGUGGCCGAUUUUGACCCGGCCUGGGCUCCCAUUGGCGUUGCCGCUUUGGAGUUGAUCUACCACCAUCGCGUCGCCAUCACCGUGAACCGAUUUUCGCGUUAAUCCAGUAAGUUUAACUCACUAAUCCCUUCUUUGUAAGUUAAUGACGCUUAAGGGUUUAUUAGUUUAAAUUAAGCUUGGAUUAUGUGAUUAGUUAGACUAGGUUAGUGAAUUAAUUGAUCGUUAAUGCAUGUUAGGUGAUUAUAAUAGUGCAAUUAGCGAGUAGACAAGUUGUAGUAUUUAUCUAGAGUGGUUUGGAAAUUUUCCGGGCCCAUUUUGGUAUUUAAUUAGGCUUUUCCGGCCUAAGUUGAAUUUUUGGUAUUUAUUAAUUAAUUUUCGAAAUUAUUUAAUUAAUUAUUAUUUUUCAGAAAUUAGACCAAGAUGGUAGGUGACCGAAAUUUUAUACUGAUUGCAGUGGUAUGAUCUGUUUAUUUAAUUGAGUGUAAUUUGCAAUUUUGGAUAUUUAUCCCAAAAUUUAUUAAUUUCAGUAUUUAAUUAGAAAAUUACCAAGCGUCGGUUUACAACGCUGAAAAUGUUUUUAUUGAUUGUAUAAUUAAUGGGAUUUUACAAAAUAAAGAAAUUAUAUUUUUUGCUAAAACCUACCGUGUACCCAUACACGAUUAUUUUACUGGAACUAUGAAAGCAAUGAAAAGGGUGGUGGGUGAGUAUAAUAUCUAUGAAUCAGCUUUGGUGAGCAUAAAUCAGCUUCGGUGAGCAUAAACCGGCUUCAGUGAGCACAAAUCAGCUUAGGCGAGCUAUUCUAUAUAUAUAUCAACUUCGAUGAACUAUACUAUCUAGCUAUAUCAACUUCGAUGAGCUAUAUUAUCUAUCCUUAUCAGCUUUGGCAAGCAUUCUUUUGUAUCAGCUUAGGUGAGCAGUGAUCAUUUCAAUAAAACAACUAGAUAGAUAGUAUUGGGUGAUAGAUAGUAUUAAAAUGGUUGACCUAAAGAUGGUCUUGAUGAUAUGGAAUCAACUAGGUCGACUGAUCGAUGAUUCGAUCUGAUUGGAUGAAUUGAUUUGUUGAAAUGAGUGAUCGAAAUGAUUGAAUUGUGCUUACUUGCAGGAAGGGACUGCGGCCAAGAUAAGUCCUCCGACUUGUACUUGUGCUUAAACAGCCUUAAGGCAUAUUUUCUUCAUAAUCGGGUCUUAGGGGGUGAACUUGCUGAGACAUUGUCUCGCCCCAUUGUGGGAUAACAUUUUCAGGUCCCUAGGGUGAAGAACCUGGAACUUGAGGCGAAAGGGUCGGGAGCAUGGAUGGCUCAUAAGUCAUUUUUGGAGAUAGGCCUCCUAUACUUGAACCCUAGAGUUGGCCUCUGGUUGUAAGCCAAAUUGUGAUUUUUAAUAAUGUGUUGAUUUAAAAUUUGUGUCCUACUUUUUUAUCACACGUUUGUUGUAGUCAGG